AUCGCUUCUCGGCCCUUGUGGCUAAGAUCAAAAGUGUAGUAUCUGUUCUUAUCAGCUUAAUAUCUGAUACGACUCUCAUUGAGAGUCAAGAUAUUAAACCAAUUUUUGCUAUGCGGUGAACAGUUUGAGCUGUGCUCAGCGUUUGCCACGGGUUGGCCUGGUCUUGCACUCACCUCCAGGGUCGGCCCAAUUUUU
rnacentral:snRNA from 1 species